rnacentral:SRP_RNA from 1 species
CAUUCGUCCUCUCGCGACAGACAGCCGUGAAAUCCGCCAGGUCCGGAAGGGAGCAACGGUAGCGGUGCGUUUGGGUGCCGGGAUGUGGUGGGUGCGU